rnacentral:rRNA from 1 species
AGAGUUUGAUCCUGGCUCAGGACGAACGCUGGCGGCGUGCCUAAUACAUGCAAGUCGAACGCACUCUCGUUUAGAUUGAAGGAGCUUGCUCUUGAUUGAUAAACAUUUGAGUGAGUGGCGGACGGGUGAGUAACACGUGGGUAACCUGCCCUAAAGUGGGGGAUAACAUUUGGAAACAGAUGCUAAUACCGCAUAAAACCUAACACCGCAUGGUGUAGGGUUGAAAGAUGGUUUCGGCUAUCACUUUAGGAUGGACCCGCGGUGCAUUAGUUAGUUGGUGAGGUAAAGGCUCACCAAGACCGUGAUGCAUAGCCGACCUGAGAGGGUAAUCGGCCACACUGGGACUGAGACACGGCCCAGACUCCUACGGGAGGCAGCAGUAGGGAAUCUUCCACAAUGGACGAAAGUCUGAUGGAGCAACGCCGCGUGAGUGAAGAAGGUUUUCGGAUCGUAAAACUCUGUUGUUGGAGAAGAAUGUAUCUGAUAGUAACUGAUCAGGUAGUGACGGUAUCCAACCAGAAAGCCACGGCUAACUACGUGCCAGCAGCCGCGGUAAUACGUAGGUGGCAAGCGUUGUCCGGAUUUAUUGGGCGUAAAGCGAGCGCAGGCGGUUUCUUAAGUCUGAUGUGAAAGCCUUCGGCUCAACCGAAGAAGUGCAUCGGAAACUGGGAAACUUGAGUGCAGAAGAGGACAGUGGAACUCCAUGUGUAGCGGUGAAAUGCGUAGAUAUAUGGAAGAACACCAGUGGCGAAGGCGGCUGUCUGGUCUGUAACUGACGCUGAGGCUCGAAAGCAUGGGUAGCAAACAGGAUUAGAUACCCUGGUAGUCCAUGCCGUAAACGAUGAGUGCUAGGUGUUGGAGGGUUUCCGCCCUUCAGUGCCGCAGCUAACGCAUUAAGCACUCCGCCUGGGGAGUACGACCGCAAGGUUGAAACUCAAAGGAAUUGACGG